ensembl:lncRNA
UUGGUAUGAAAUUACAGUCCUCUGGCUAUACUUAUAUUUCAAAGUGCUUGAUAUCCAGAUGAGAUUAUAAUUAUUAAGCUCACUACUCCCACUACAAUACUGAUAUAAAUGAUCUUCUCUGCUGGGUGCUCAACAACUGAAGCUUGGAGACCAGAACUAGAAGAAGCUGUAACCUCCAUAGAUUUCAAGGGUAUGAAAGGUCCUGAGACUACACUGUUGGAACGACUGCAUCACACCACUCUGCGCUCCCAGAGGUAGACAGGAGGGAGAAGCAUCUUUCCACUUUAUCCACGUUACCCAUUGUUGUUACUGAUUUAUUUUUAAAUCCAACUUGGCUUCUCCCCUGAAAACUGUUGAGAAGUAAAGAAAACUGACCAUAGCUUCCUGAAGUCAAAGCACCUAAAACAAAGAGAAGGCCAUGGAAGUGAGUAAGGGGCUUCUCCAAGACUGCAAGGUCACCCAAGGUCCCUACCGUCCAUGCUGCUGAGAAGCUGCCAGUUUCUUCUUUGCUUGGUUGGUCUCACAACCAACCACCCACUCCCACCCACUAUACCUCAACACCCAACCUGGAGAGGUGUUGUUCUCUGGGUCCUGAAAACACUAAGGGAAGCUGGGAGUAGGGGGCACAUGCCUGUAAUCCCACCACUUGGGAGGCUGAGGCAGGAAGAUGGUGAGUUCCAGGCCUGGAUUGCAUAGAAAGACUAUGUCUCAAAACACACACACACACACACACAUGGGGACUCACUACGGCUUUGGACUGACCCACCCCCGACCUCUCUGGGAUGAUGGCGCAGGGAAGAGCACCCUCAGUCUGUGGUACACUAGCCCCUGUUCUUGGGUUGGGGCUCAGAUGAAAAGCGAAGGUCACUUUUCUAGGCCUGAAGAGGAAAUGUAAAUCUCUCCCAGCCCACGUGGCAGAAGCUGCCAGAAGGCCAUUGCCCUGUUAGUAAACAGGGCUGCCUGGGCCAUCUUUCUCUUUUGUAAUAACCUGCAGGGCACCUAUUGAUUGCACGUGCUGGUCCCUCAUAAGUGAGGACAGGGCUGUCUUCCGGUUGCUCUGGAGCUGUGAGGGUGCCUAAAUUGGCUGACUAAUACUGCAUGCUCAUGGAGCACAGUGUCCUGUGCCACCUAAACAUGAAGAAUAUGUAUCAUCAGGCGCCGUGAGAGUGCAGGCCCCAACUCCAGCGGCUUCAAGGCUUCCGGGCGUGCUGCAGACUGCAAUUAGGCAGUUUGCUUGCCUCCUCCCGAGAGGAAAGAACACUGAUGUGGCUCCUGCUGCAGCCUGAGCUACUUUAAGAUGGAGGGAGCGGCAGGUCUUGGAGGGUGGGCAAUGGGCCAGCUCCUCACCUCAGCUACCCCCUCAGCAGGAAUGGCAGCCAGCAAAUAGAAACCAACCCACAUCUUUUAGCCUGUGGUGGACAGAGUUAUGACUCAAAAGACACGUUCAAAACCCCCACUUCGGCCACUUUUGGCUGUGUGAUAUUAGUGGCUUAACCUCUCUGAGCCUCAGCAUCUCAUCUGGAAAGUUGAGAAAAUAAUAUUUCCUUAAUUGUUCAUGUGGUUAGGCCUGCCUGGAACCCAGUAUCCUCUCAUAAAUACCGGCACUGAGUCAAAAGCAGCUGAACACAGCAGUAGGUACCGGACUGAAACUACUUUUCCUUUCCACCCCUGAAAUCUGGCACCAGGAACUUUUCAGUGCUAUUGCCAGGCAAUGCCUUGCUAUCUAAGAAGUGAGGCCAGGAAACUCCUGGCUUGAUAAAUUGGAAUUAUCUCUCCCAUCCCUUUCAUCUUUCUGUGCCCCUCCUGACCUAGCUUCUGAAUUUAACAUUGAUUCCACAGGGAAUGUCACUAAAAUGUAUCGUGAACACAGAGAAGCAUGGCACCAUAGCUUACCCUUCUAAAAGAAAACCUUGGCACCCGCAGGCCCACCCUGGGCAGAGCCUUCAGAGCGUCUCUAACUCUGGCCCUGGACAAUGGGCUCUAUGAGUAGCACUGUCCUUGCAGCUCACUUGUGGCUCCUUUGUUGAUGUUGCCACAAUCAAAGCCGAUGAAAGGACGGUGUGAAGAGCCAUAUUUCCAUAUUUUCCUCCUGGUCCUGGAAAUGACAUCUACUGCCUUGGGACGGAGGGUACAGUGGGUGAAUGGUGCCCCCCAAAUAUAUGAUCACACGGGGACCCUGUGAGUGUGAUCUUCUUUGGGCAAAGGGUCUUUACAGAUGUGAUUAAAUCAGCAUCUUGAGCUGCCAUUGUUCUAAAUUACCUGGGGUGGGCAGGCGGCGUAAAUGGAGUGACAAGGGUCCCUUGAGACAGAAGAGGGACUGGCACAGAGAGAAGCUCAGGAGAAGAUGAUGGAGAUGCAGCCUGGAGUGAAGCAGCCCCAGUCAAGGCUUCCUGGGCCAUCAGGAGCGGGGGGGGGGGGGGCAGAGGAAGACUGUCUGGAGAGCCUUUGGAAGGAGGGAGUGUGGCCCUGCUGACACCUGGGUUUGGGACUCUGGCUUCUACAAUUGGGAGAGGAUGAAUUUCUAUUACUUUAGGCUACUGCUGAGGCUUAGAUACGGUUUUUCUCCAAAAGCUCAUGUGCCCGAGACUUGGUCCCUGAUGUCCUGGUAUUGAGGUGUUGAUGACUUUCAGAAGGGUGAUUAGCCAGGGGCAGCACCCUCAGAAAGACCGGCUUGGUUACCCUCAUAGGGGAUUGAUAAAAACGAAUGUGGCUUUCUUUUUUGUUGUUGUUUUUUUGAGACAGGAACUCACUAUGUAGUUCAGGCUGGUCUAGACUCACUAUGUAGCCCAUGCUGGCUUCAAACUCAUGGCAAUCCUCCUGCCUCAGCCUCCUGAGUGCUGGCAUUACGGGGAUGCACCACUAUGCCUGGCUUCUUCUCUCAGCAUAUGACCUCUCCUGCCUGUGCUGCUGCCCUGUGAUGCCAUCUGCCCAGAAGCUGAGGCUACACAAUGCCACACACUUGGACCUCCAGAACUGUAAGCUAAAUAAACCUCCUUAUUUUCUUUAUGAAGGAAGGUAUCUUAUGAUACGAACAAGGUAUCUUGUUAUAGCAACACACAGUGGACUGAGAGCCACCAAGCUUGUGGUCGUCUGUGAUGGCGGCUCUACUCCAGCAUGCUCCUGGGGUGGGACACAGCUCAAGGUCAUCUUCCACGGGUGAUGUUUUCCCUGUCUGUGGCAGGACUUACCUGAACAACAGCCUCAGCUGGCCUGGCCUGCAAUCCAGGAGCCGCAGACAACCAGAUAGGAGUGUGGCUGAGGAUCUGCCUGGGACAGAGCCUUCUGAAAUGCUGGAAACAGGCUCCAUCUUAGAACUAGACAGACUGAUGUUGAAAUCCCAACACUGACUGACUCUGAGGCCUCUCUGCCUUUCAAGUCCCUCAUCAAUAAAGCGAGGAAAUAAUGUUUACCUUGUAGGCAAGAGCAGGUCCAGCAUCCAAAGCUUACAGAAUUUGGGUGACACUUUAAAAGAGAAAGAAUACAACGAUUUAAAUCCAAAGUUAGGGAAGGAGUCUUGGGAGGCCCUGUAUAAGUUCGGGCCCCUGAGGUGUAAGUCAGGCCCACUCUGUUCAUUGGUGCUCAGAGAAUCACAGGUGAAAACAGGGAGCACAAGGCAGAGCCUGGAUCCUGCUGAGAGCUCUGUAAGAGACAAAAGUUGUCAGCUGGGCGUGGUGGUGCACGCCUGUAAUUCCAGCGCUUGGGCGGCUGAGGCAGGAGGAUCACUUCAAGUGAGUUCUCUGUCUCCAAAAAAAAAAGAAAAGAAAAGAAAAAGAAAGUAUGGAGAUAUGUGUGGAACACAGAAGAAACUCUGAAGGAUACAUUCCAUAGAGACUGCAGUUGUUGCUCUCUUGUCUCUUUUCCCUUCCUUUUGGUAACAGGAAACUGACUUCUAGGACGAUGGCUGUGUGCUCAGCUAAAGCCACCUGUCCCAGCUUCUCUCACAGCUGGGUGUAGCCAUGAGACUAAAUUUUGGCCAAGGAAGUAUAAACAAAGCGUGAUGGCUGAAAUCCAGCUUCCCCAGAGUUCACAGAGGAAGCGCUCACCUCGUGCUCAGAGUGUGGCCCUAACGGAAAGAGGGUCCCUGAGGACAUUAACCGAGGGGAUGGGGGACUCACAUCCCACAUGAAUAAUGGCCUAAUGAAAAGGGGAAAUUAAGACGCGCACGCGCACGGAGAGCGCUGCGUGAAGAUGGGGCAGAGACCAGCAGCUACUUCUACAAAUCCAGGGACCUCAAAGGCUGUCGCAGAAGUCAGGAGAGGCAGCAGUGCUCAGAAGGCACCAAUCCUGGGUUGCCAGCCUCCAGACUGAGAGAAGGGCGACAGUUUCUGUCAUGUAAGCCGAUCGGGUGCGGCACUUUGUUACCGCAGCCCUAGAAAACGAAUGCAGACAGAUAACGUUCUUCUUCAACCAGCAGACGGAGACCGGUAUCGCAAAUGGCAGACAGAGUGCAAGGAGGAACCCGGGACCCCAAAAACCUCAGGGAGCUGUCACAUUACUCUUGCACUGCCUACCCCGGGGCUUAUUUUCUAGAAAAAUAAACUUAAGCUUUUGUUAUUGUUUUAUUUGGUUUUUGAAAUAUACGAUUUUGAUAAAUUACUCUUUGAGGGGAGGGCUUGGAAUUGAAAUAUCAGUGAAGAAUUUUUGCUUUACCUGUAACGUUUCAAUUCUGAUUUCAAGGAUAUAUUUAGGUAUUCUUUUGUAACUAAAAUAAAAUUAUUUCAUAAAUUACAUGA